UACGGAGGGUGCGAGCGUUGUCCGGAAUCACUGGGCGUAAAGGGCGCGUAGGCGCUCGUGAAGUCAGUGGUGAAAGCCCAGGCUCAACUCUGGGUCGGCCACUGAUACUCGCGAGCUCGAGUUUGGUAGAGGCAGAUGGAAUUCCGGGUGGAGCGGUGAAAUGCGUAGAGAUCCGGAGGAACACCGACGGCGCAGGCAGCGUCCUGGCCGCUUGCUGACACUGAGGCACGAAAGCUGGGGGAGCAAACAGG
rnacentral:rRNA from 1 species